rnacentral:rRNA from 1 species
UACGGGGGGGGCAAGCGUUGUCCGGAAUUACUGGGCGUAAAGGGCUCGUAGGCGGCCAACUAAGUCAGACGUGAAAUCCCUCGGCUUAACCGGGGAACUGCAUCUGAUACUGGAUGGCUUGAGAUUGGGAGAGGGAUGCGGAAUUCCAGGUGUAGCGGUGAAAUGCGUAGAUAUCUGGAGGAACACCGGUGGCGAAGGCGGCAUCCUGGACCAACACUGACGCUGAGGAGCGAAAGCCAGGGGAGCAAACGGG